GAACGAAAAAGCUGUGCAUAAUAACGAAGAAGGAGGACGGACAAAAAAAAUACACAAGAAAGAUGCGCAAAAAUAGACCCCCCCCUUGCGCGUCAUCUUCUCCGACGACCCCGGCGCAGCAAAGAGACCCCCCUUCCUAUCGUCUUCAACCCGACGUCCACACCCCUCAUCGUCGAACCUCUCACACCGCUAGCCUUACCUGUCGGCUGCAACUCCAUCCCAAACGAUAACUUCGUCAGCCAUAGCUUCUUCCUCUUCUAACCUUGAACGCCACUAAGCGGAUCCCCACUAUUACACUCGCCCAGAAGUCAGUCGAUCUGCACGGUCACACACUGCCUGACCGUCGUCCACCAUGAGGCUGCCAUUUUCGGCGAGCCUCAUCUUCACACACACACAUGCACCACGACGCACACAGCUAUACACACAUAAAAAAAAAAGAUGCGCAACAACGUUACAACAAAAAUGCAGCUCAUCAUCUCCAUUUUUCUGCCAUCCAAAACAGCCCUGAGAUCUACAUAAGCCGAUAGUUUCCAGUUAGUAGUCGGUUGUUUCUUUGGGUCGUGCUUCCGCUCGAGGUCGCCGGGGUCAGGUCCGUCGAGGUGUUCGUUGAUACGCUGUCCGAGAUCUCGUUUGUUUUGAUUUUCCGACGAGCUGUUCCCGGACCGAUGUCUCUUAUUAGCGGAUCUGUUCGCUGUUAGUUUCGUCAGCAUGCUUUUCUUGGUACACUUUGAAAGUUAAUAAAAUGGGUACGUUUAUAUUAUCCUCUUCUUUUUAACCCUGUUUGUUUACUGGAUUGGAGUUUUGCUAAGUGGAAAGGUGCAGAUAUUUUGAUUUUCAAUAGUGGUCACUAGUGGAUGAAAUUGGUCUAAGUUUAUUAAAGAUGAUAAAUUUCUAAUUUUGUUCCAGGGUCAAAUGCAUGUGAAUUUUAUCACUAAUGGAUGAAAUUUGAAGGUUUUGAUUGUGAAAGUAUUUUUGUUGAAAUGUAUAGUUUGAUAUCUGGACUUGAAUAAUUUGUUUGGUUUCAUUUUUGUUGAAACGUCGAGUCCCUGCUCAUUGUUAAUUGAAAAGCAUGACAUCCUUUUAGUUUCAUUGUCAUUCACUAUUGCCUUCAUUUUUUUUUCUUUUUGUUUCAUUGUUGUUUUGUUUUCCCCUUUAUAAUUAGCCUUUCAUAUAGUUAAAUAUGAUUUAAAUCAUUAAAAUAUGUCGUUGAAUCUUAUGAAUGAGUUGUUACGAGCAGUGAUUUUUUACUUAAUUGCUAUACUAGCCUACUAAUGAAGAACUCAAUAAUUUGGCCUAUACUUUAGGCGCGUUGUUUAAAUAAUAUUACCUUCCUAAACUCGGGUGCGCAUUUAUGUGACCCAAAUCUAAAUCUCAACAAUGUUAAAAUAUGUCAAAGACCGCGGGUGCAUUUAUGUGACGUGGUUCAAGACGUGUUUUAAUAGCGUUGCAAUCUUCCUGAAAAUAAUUAAAUAAAAGCGGUUAUAAAGUUAAAAUCGAACCAUAGGCUAAAACAUGUAUUAAAAUCAGACAAUAAGCCAAUUAUAGUAGUUGAGCGACCGUGCUAGAACCACGGAAUCCGGGAAUGCCUAACACCUUCUCCCGGGUUAACAAAAUUCCUUACCCGGAUUUUUGUGUUCGCAGACUGUUAAACAGAGUCAUAUUCUCCUCGAUUCGGGAUUCAACCGGUGACUUGGGACACCACAAAUCUCCCAAGUGGCGACUCUGAAUUUCCUAGUAUAAAUCCCGUUUCAAUUGUCCUUUAAUUGGAAAAACUCUUUAUACUAUACCUUUUUCCGGGGUGUAAGUGAAAAAGGAGGUGUGACAGCUCUGGCGACUCUGCUGGGGAGAUCGAACCCAGAAUCUCUGGUUCAAAGUUCAAGAAUUCGAGCUUUAGAUGAAUUGUUGUAUUUGGCUUUAUUUAUUAUCUGAUUUUAUUCACAUGUUUG
rnacentral:lncRNA from 1 species